ensembl:lncRNA
GACUGUAGGGGUGAGGCACCAAAUGGCUGCCAUUUCCUACUCAUGUGGAUGACAGUGACAUCUUUUCCCUUUUGUGGAUUAAAUGGCUGCAUGUCAAUGUUGCUGUUUGUUUUUUUCUUUUAUAUGCGUUCACAAAGCAGAGGUGGCCAUGGUUAGGUUAAAACUGUUUAUUCUCAAACGUGAGGCAGACGUAAAAAGUUUUGAGUUGUAUGAAAAUCACACACAAACAUCGGCUUGAACACACACACACACACAUACAGACUCACUCACAUACACACAGACACACACUCACACAGACAUGCACACAGACACACACACACACGCACACACACUCACACAGACAUGCGCACACACACACACACACACACACACACACACACACACAGUGUGGAUAAACACGUCAAAUCCUCACGGGAAAAAAAUCAGAUCACACCACACAGAUACCAGCGCGUUACCCCUGGAAACCCCACGUCCAAGUCCAAACAUUUCACAGCAGUAUUCAUCACGUGAUUGUCCAAAUCCACCCCCGUAAAAUCAGUUAGAAAAAAAAAAAUUAUAAUCACAAAAUGAAACAUACGGUGCAGGCCUCUAUGACAACCCCGUCUGUGACAUCACCUCAGGGUGGAUGUCCAGAAGGGACCGUAUGAGAAGUUAGCCCUCUUCCUUGUCCAAACCCGCAUUGCAUUGUGGGUAUUUGCUACACCCCAGCACUGGUCAAUCAUUGAACAGGCCUCAGCUGUCAGCAGGUUUUGUCUUCCUGUUAUUGUAGAAGAUUGUGAGUUGUUUUGGUUUGUUGUCUUUGGUUUCUGUUUGGUACCCAAGGCAACCGCUGUGGCAUCUCCUGAUUUAGGGGUCAUUAGUACAGUGUUGAAGCACCUGAGGGCAAAAACGAAGAGCACACGAGGAGAAUUUGCUGGGUUCUGGAGUAGGAGGCUGGGCGUGGGGGGUGGGAGAGGAGGGCAGGUAUUUCCAUGACUCGCCCACCAACAAACAAACAGAAGAGACGAACGGUGCAUCCUGGUAGUGUCACCAUGGCAACGUCCAUAAGAGUGUGUCUUAUGCGCAGAGAGGAGAGAAGGCUCAUGGGAGUGAGUAGAAGGCUCCGUUUUAGGGGGGGGGGGACACCUGCAGCCACGGAACCCACACCUGUAUGUGACCCCAUUACGGGAGACCAGACGUCCACACUCCUCCUUAAAGAUAGAGACGGAGAGAGAGAGAGAGAGAGAGAGAGAGAGAGAGUGAGAGAGAGAGAUAGAGAGGGAGAGAGAGAGAUAGAGAGGGAGAGAGAGAGAGAGAGAGAUUGUGGCAUUUAAAUUCAUGUAAAAAGUACAAUAUUCAUUUGUUUCUGAAUUCACCGGUCAUGCAUGAUGCAUGAUCAUCACCGUGCCAGGUUGGCAGGGGGAAAAAACAGCAAAACAACCAAAAAGAAAACACAUAGUAAACAUCCUUUCAACUUCUCUCGAAACGAAUGAGCACACAGAAUACCUUUUUUUUACCAUUUUUUUUUUUAAACACACACACACACUACACUCUCACACACACACACACACACUAGUUCUAACAAGCCCGGCGCUUGUGUUAACCCCAGUUAGCGGUGAACUCUGGCCCAGCAUGCUCCACUCACCCCGGGGGAGCACAUUAGCACGAGAGCCUCCCCUCACGGGCCUCCCAGAACCAGAGCCACCCGGCACCCAACGCCUCCGGGACCUUCCAACCCAAACCCGGCUUUUAUAGGCACUCACAGCCUCACGCUGUCCUGUUACUGUUUUAAAGAAUAUUUAUACACUGACCCCUUAGAUGACAAGGAGAGGCUCUGGGUGUAAUGAUCCCUUAUGUUUAUAUGUUGUUUAUUUGUUUGGAUGUUCAUAUGUGGUUUAUAAGUUGUUUAUGUGUUGUUUAUAUGUUGUUUAUAUGUUUGGAUGUUCAUAUGUGGUUCAUAAGUUGUCUAUGUGUUGUUUAUAUGUUGUUUAUAUGUUUGGAUGUUUAUAUGUUGGGAUGUUUAUAUGUUGUUUAUAUGUUUGGAUGUUUAUAUGUUGGGAUGUUUAUAUGUUGUUUAUAUGUUAUUGGAUGUUCAUAUGUUGUUUAUAUGUGUGGAUGUUUAUAUGUUGGGAUGUUUAUAUGUUGUUUAUAUGUUUGGAUGUUUAUAUGUUGGGAUGUUUAUAUGUUGUUUAUAUGUUUGGAUGUUUAUAUGUUGGGAUGUUUAUAUGUUGUUUAUAUGUUAUUGGAUGUUCAUAUGUUGUUUAUAUGUGUGGAUGUUUAUAUGUUGGGAUGUUUAUAUGUUGGGAUGUUCAUUUGGUGUUUAUAAAUUGUUUAUAUGUUGUUUAUAUGUUUGGAUGUUCAUAUGUUGUUUAUAUGUGUGGAUGUUUAUAUGUCCUUAUAUGCAAUGUUUGCAACUUAGUUCACCUCUCUGCCUUUCCACUCUCUCUCUCUCUUUCUCUCUCUCUUGCAAAGAAACACACUCGCACCGACACGUAAAUACACACUCAUUCCCUCCCUCUGUUUCUCUCUCUCAUACAUAUACACUCAGACACACACACACACACACACACUUUUUUCUUCCUGCGUCUCUCUCUCGUACACAACACACAUACACAAACUUUCUCUCUACCUCUGCUUCUCUCUCUCUUUCACAUGAACAAACACACAACACACAGAGAGAGAGAGAGAGAGAGAGAAAGAAAGAGAGAGAGAGAGAGAGAGAGAGAAAG